UUCCGGUUGAUCCCGCCGGAGGCUACCGCUAUUGGAGUUCGAUUAAGCCAUGCGAGUCGCGAGAAAUUAGAUUCUCGGCGUACCGCUCAGUAACACGUGGGUAACCUGCCCUAUGCUGGAUAAUAACCUCGGGAAACUGAGAAUAAUGAUCCAUAGUUCACUACGCCUGGAACGGUGAGUGGAUGAAAGCUCCGGCGGCAUAGGAUGGGCCUGCGGCGUAUCAGGUUGUAGGGGGUGUAACGUACCCUCUAGCCCUCUACGCGUACGGGUGUUGGGAGACAUAGCCCGGAGAUGGAUUCUGAGACACGAAUCCAGACCCUACGGGGUGCAGCAGGCGCGAAAACUUGGCAAUGCGAGAAAUCGUGACCAGGGAACUCCAAGUGCAUGGGGUAAGACCCAUGCUUUUCUUGACUCUAAAUAGGUCUUGGAAUAAGGGGUGGGUAAGGACGGUGCCAGCCGCCGCGGUAAUACCGGCGCCUCAAGUGGUAGUCGCUUUUAUUGGGCCUAAAACGUCCGUAGCCGGUCUGAUACAUUCGUGGGUAAAUCAACCAGCUUAACUGGUUGAAUUCUGCGAGGACGGUCAGACUUGGGACCGGGAGAGGUGUGGGGUACGCUCAGGGUAGGGGUAAAAUCCUGUCAUCCUGAGCGGACCACCUGUUGCGAAGGCGCCACACUAGAACGGAUCCGACGGUCAGGGACGAAGCCUAGGGGCACGAACCGGAUUAGAUACCCGGGUAGUCCUAGGUGUAAACGCUGUGGACUUGAUGUUGGGGGUGCUCCGAGCACUCUCAGUGUCGAAGCGAAGGUGAUAAGUCCACUGCCUGGGAAGUAUGGUCGCAAGGCUGAAACUUAAAGGAAUUGGCGGGGGAGCACCGCAACCUGAGGAUUGUGCGGUUUAAUUGGAUUCAACGCCGG
rnacentral:rRNA from 1 species